GUGGACUAAAGUCUAUUGUUAUUAUUCAUAUUAAUUUUUUAAAAGUUUUAUAUUUUUAUAUUAGUUUAUUUGUUAAAUUAGGAGUUUAACCAAAUUUUAGGAAUAGAUAAUAAUAAUUUAUAAUUUUGAUUAGAUAUUUUUGUUAAUGCUAUAUAAUGGGUGUGGAAAUUUUUUUUAAAUUUGUAAAAUAACAUGAUAAUAAAUCACAUAUCACACAUUAGUCAGAAAUGGAUGCCAGCCGUUGCGGUAAUUUCUAUGCUUUUAAAUAUUAUACAUUUAUCAAAACAUAAUGUUACUUUCCAUUUUAACAUAAAAAAACAUGAUUUUUCUUUUUUGUUUUUAAACACCAAUAUGGUAUAUGCAAAUAUAAAAUUAUAGUAAUUAUAUAUUAUAUUAUAUUAUAUUUAUUCAUAUAAAUAAAAAAAAAAAUUAAGAUACUUUGAUACCAUGAUAAGGCUAGUAGUUUGGAAUUGUAAAUAUUAUAAUCAAAUAUUAUUAUUUAUAUAAAAUCCUUAAAAUUAGAUAAAAUAAUAAAUUACAAAGGUAUUGUUGCCCACCAAUUUUUAUAAUAAAAAUAACGUGCAGUAAUUAAUAUAUUUAUAAAAAUAUAUUCUACAUAUUU
rnacentral:rRNA from 1 species